rnacentral:lncRNA from 1 species
CUUGUGCCACGGUGGCCCAAAUGUCAGUCAACCAGACAUGUCUUCUGAGAGGUAAGUUUUUGAAAAAUACUAGACUUUUCUCAAAUGUAUUUCUUUACAGGAAUAAAAAGAAAGCUAAUUUUGCAUGAGCAUGCAGGAAGUCUGCAGACAGACAUUCUACAUAGUCCCUUGGGGACUCAGUAGAAGUGGAAUCAAGACCAACCCAAGCCCAACAAGGCAGCUCCGCUGGUUAAUGCCUCCCAGAUCUGUCAUCUGUGAUAAAGAGCCUCGCUGUAGCUGAGGAGCUGGCCAAGAACCUUUCCCAGUUAGCCAAGUUCGUGAAGAAGUCACAUGUGGUGAAUAUAUUAUCAUCAGAAUGCGGAGCAAUGAAAUGUAAACAGAUAGGAAUCGUCACUAAAGCUCCAACUGCAGCCUCCGGGUGCCAUAGCUUUUGCACCAUCCAUUUGCACCAUCUCUGCAGUAAGUCCUAGCUCAAGCCUUACUCCAAAGUACAAAUUAGCAUAGCAGCUCAGUCAACAAUGCCUCCGAGCUUCUGGAAAGAAAGAUGCUCAGUCACCAUAGACCCAGAAUUAAUGAAAAGUCACAGAAAUAAUAGCUCCAUUCUCUACUUGCUUCUGAACCUCAAAUCAGUGGUUGGCAACAAGUUGCUCUCAAUCACUGCCACGAGUCUGGUGAUGCGCUAAGCUCGGGGCAGGAUCUCAAGGGCUUUGAGGAUGUCUGCAUCAUCUGUAUUGACCUGCUCCCCAGAUUAAUACCGAAGCACUGCAAUUUCUUGAGGAUUAUCCACCUAGGAGGAAAUGAUACGCUGGCCCAUCCAUAGUAGUCAAGGUUUCUUGGAAGAGAAGAAUGAGAUUGGAUCUGAGAAAAUGUGGCUGGUAAUGAACUCUACGAAGGGAUUUUUAUACUCUCUCUUUGGCAGUCCAUCCUGUGAAAUAAUAAUGAGGUUGGAGGAUGGCUGCUAACCAUCCCUUGCUUUUCCGUGCCAGGGAACCACCAUCUCAGAUGGUAGAAACCACUCAGAAGGAUCAACUGCUGCAGACGGGAAGAGGAGCAACCUCGUGAAUAAUUUCGUGACAGGAUAUUGCAGGAGGGACUUUGUCCAAAUGUGUGCAGGGUAGUUGGCUACAGCAACAAGGAUGACGAACACAGAUGAAUUGAUCAGGAUGUAACCAUUCAAAGUUGAGAGGAUUAGAGGACUUCUCCGAGGCGGCUCCAAUGGAUGCCAGCAGAGUUAAAGUGUCCAAUGGAGAGAAGAGAAGGCUUGGGAAAUCCAGAGUCCAUUCAUUCAUCGCCCUCCUCCUAGAACAACAAAAGCGAGCCCCAGUACUCAUCAGCAUGGACUCUGUGUGUAGUCAUCUCCCUUAGUUUCAGAGGUUCCUGCCUACAGCAAAACUUUAGAGGCUUAGAGUUUAACGGUCAUAGCUUAUUCACCUCCAACUGUGUCCUAGUUCAAGAGAAACACUUCACAUAUCUGUAGGGAGAAGAUAAUGAACCAAGGAUACAAGUUAAGCCUUAGCUAAGACCUGUUACUCAGGAAAAAGAGCUAAAACAAGCUGCUUAGAUCAGCACCAAUGUUAGGUAGAGAGAAAAAGAAACGCUGCAUAGAAAUCUUAAGGUUCACAUGUGCUCCAGGCUGGGUCAACAACUUCUAAUUUCCUUUGCCAACCAACCAUGUCUUUGACAGAAAUGAUCCUUCUACAUAGACCACAGAGGGAUCCAAUGGAGGUUUCUCUUCCUGAAUUUGGGGAUUCAGAAUCUGGACAAAUUCCUUUCCAUCAAAGUCCAGUACAAAAGUAGUACCAUGGCAGUCCCUGCAGGGACUUGCAUCACUUUCCCUAGAGAUAUCAAGAGAAUUUUUAGUGAUAAGAAUAUGGCACAAAAUGAGAAAUCCCAUUACUCUUAAGAGAAUCUCUUCCUUCUCAAAGGCACCUGAUUAAUACAUAUAGUACUAUCAGUAAGGCUGAGCAAAAGGAUACUGAUGUUCUGAGUGAUCUUAAAUCAUGUAAUAAUAACUUUAUUCGUAGUAUAGAACGGAAUAUUCCCUAUUAGUAAUCAGUUCCUUUGCCAGAUCCUCAUAGUAUCUUAGUCACUGUUUUAUUGUUAUGAAGAGAAACUUUGACCACAGCACCUCUUAGAAAAAAGGAAGCAUUUAAUCGGGACUUCCUUAUGGUUUCACAGUUUUACAUAAUUGUCAACAUGGCAGAGAACAUGGGGGCACGCAAACAGACAUGGUGCUGGAGAAGUAGCGGAGAAUAUACAGCAACAUAUAGAUACAAAAUAUAGAUACAUAUAGAUACAGAAUAUAGAUACAUAUAGCUACAUAUAGAUCUGCAGGCAGCAGGAAGAGACUGGGACAAGGCCAUACCUUCUAAGGCUUCUCAAGGAGUGUCACUUCCUGAUGACCAAGCAUUCAAGUGUAUGAGCUUAUGGGAGCCAUUCUUAUUCAAGCCACCACACAUAGCAAAGCUGAUAAUGUCAUUUUCUGAAUUAACCAGGCCAAGGCACACUUCUUAGCAACAUGGUUACCUGGUAACCAGAGAUUUUUCUCAUCCCAUGAGAGAUUUCAUUCAAGAACUGAUCUUCUAACAGUUUUGUCUCUCUUAAGAAUGCUACAGACAGGGUGGGGUGAGGCACAGUGCUGAAGCCCCUCAAGUUUCCCAGAGGGAUGAGUCCAUGAAAGACGAAAAUCAUGUGGUCACACUGAGCAUAGACUUCACAAGCAUCAUGCUAGGAUUCCAUUUUCUUUCUCAACACAAUGAUAAAUUCUUCUUCCAAUAAGCAGAAAAUCAUCCAAUGGGAAAAAAAAAUAAAACCAACUAACUUGCAGUCCUUUGGAACAGUUUCAUAGCUUACAGGAUGGCUUCAUAACCCUGGGGACACUCGUUUUGACAUGAAAACUUCCUUCAGAACAGGAAUUCUGAUCCAACAUGUGCUCAGACAUCAUUUCAGUCACUUGCAAAUGAACAAGAAAGCUCAUGUAAAUGAGGAGGCUCAACUCCCAGGCCUGGUGAGUGGGUAAGACAUUCCUCUGCUGGGUUUUGAAGGCUGUCUGAAACCAUCGGCUGACAUCCUUCUCUGUGUGCAUGUAUGCACUAUCUACGGGAAAUUCAGCUCCAACCGGUUGUCUCUACAGCUCCCUUAAUCUUCUCCUCCCUCCUCCUGGCAUUGGCAUGUGUCCCAGGACUGCAGCGAGGAGUGCUUACCAACAAAGGUGCUGGCAUCUGCAUUUGUUUCACAGCCACAAACCUAAUGGUUCCAUGAUUUUGGCGAGCAAAACUGUCAAAAUGCCUGAGCACAAGAGAUCACAAGAUGAGCCAAGGCAUAGUGUGCAUGCCUUCCUUCCCAGCACUCGGAAGGCAGAGGCAAGGGGAUCUCUGUGGGUUCAAGGCCAGCCUGAAUCACAAGGUGUACUGGGGAUUCUUUUUUAUUGUUUUCCUUUUGCUAUCUGGAAUAGUUUGAGAUUGUAUUUGAUCAGUGCAUUAAACAAC